AUAAUAACUUAACGAAUCGCAUGGCCUUGGCGCCGGCGAUGGUUCAUUCAAAUUUCUGCCCUAUCAACUUUCGAUUGUAGAGUAGUGGUCUACAAUGGUUCCAACGGGUAACGGGGAAUUAGGGUUCUAUUCCGGAGAGGGAGCCUGAGAAACGGUACCACAUCCAAGGAAGGCAGCAGGCGCGCAAAUUACCCAAUCCCGACACGGGGAGGUAGUGACAAUAAAUACUGAUACAGGGCUCUUUUGGGUCUUGUAAUUGGAAUGAGUACAAUUUAAAUCCCUUAACGAGGAACAAUUGGAGGGCAAGUCUGGUGCCAGCAGCCGCGGUAAUUCCAGCUCCAAUAGCGUAUAUUAAAGUUGUUGCAGUUAAAAAGCUCGUAGUUGAACCUUGGGCCUGGCUGGCCGGUCCGCUCAC
rnacentral:rRNA from 1 species